rnacentral:rRNA from 1 species
GGGGACCUUCGGGCCUCUUGCCAUCGGAUGUGCCCAGAUGGGAUUAGCUAGUAGGUGGGGUAACGGCUCACCUAGGCGACGAUCCCUAGCUGGUCUGAGAGGAUGACCAGCCACACUGGAACUGAGACACGGUCCAGACUCCUACGGGAGGCAGCAGUGGGGAAUAUUGCACAAUGGGCGCAAGCCUGAUGCAGCCAUGCCGCGUGUAUGAAGAAGGCCUUCGGGUUGUAAAGUACUUUCAGCGGGGAGGAAGG